GAUGAACGCUGGCGGCGUGCCUAAUACAUGCAAGUCGAGCGAACGGACGAGAAGCUUGCUCCUCUGAUGUUAGCGGCGGACGGGUGAGUAACACGUGGAUAACCUACCUAUAAGACUGGGAUAACUUCGGGAAACCGGAGCUAAUACCGGAUAAUAUUUUGAACCGCAUGGUUCAAAAGUGAAAGACGCUCUUGCUGUCACUUAUAGAUGGAUCCGCGCUGCAUUAGCUAGUUGGUAAGGUAACGGCUUACCAAGGCAACGAUGCAUAGCCGACCUGAGAGGGUGAUCGGCCACACUGGAACUGAGACACGGUCCAGACUCCUACGGGAGGCAGCAGUAGGGAAUCUUCCGCAAUGGGCGAAAGCCUGACGGAGCAACGCCGCGUGAGUGAUGAAGGUCUUCGGAUCGUAAAACUCUGUUAUUAGGGAAGAACAUAUGUGUAAGUAACUGUGCACAUCUUGACGGUACCUAAUCAGAAAGCCACGGCUAACUACGUG
rnacentral:rRNA from 1 species